UACCUGGCUUUUUAUGGGGAUAUUGGGUA
rnacentral:piRNA from 1 species